CCUAGGUCUUUGAAACCAGAGCAGAGCAUGGGAUUUCCUAUGAUGGAUGUAAAUGGUAGUCCUGUAUAGUACCCAUCCUGGGACUACCUGGUUGCUGGAGCAUCUGAGCGUGGUGAAGCCACUUGCUGCAACAGGGCACUUAAGCACAGCCUGUAGAGCCACGUGUACCGAUCCAGUUGGUAAUUACUGGAGUCAUUUUCUCCAGUCUGGGAGUGAAGUGGUCACGGGAGUCACAUUCUGGGUGAGAAAGAAAAGCUUUGUACAGAGACGUGAGCUUUAAUCAGGGGACAGCAGACAAGCAUUUUAGAAAGUCUCCCCUUGCCUCGCGGUGAUGAAGAAUAAAUGACCCACCAGCAAAUGACUCCCUACGCUACUGCUACAGCUCCCUGGAAAUACCCACAAUGCUUCUGCCUGGAUUUCAAAGAUGGUCUGGGCCUCACUGUGGUCAUUAGUGCUGUAGGAAAAACAGCAGUCGAUCAAUGGAUUGACUCUGGGGAGAUGCUUCCGGGUUUCAUCGCUCUAAGCCACAGUUACAAGAUCAUUUCUACGAGAAAUAAAAUUACUGUGAAUAUUUCUGUACAAGCUUUUGUGUUGCAACAUGGUCCUGUGCCUCCUGGGAAAAGCAGAUAGCUAUUUUGUUUUCUGUACAGAGAGCUCUGCGGUUCAGUGUACGACUUGACAGUGGUAAAUUGGUUUAAAAACUGAGAAAAUUAAAAGCUAAGAGAAAUACCACUGAAAUACAGAUGAGCACACACAGUGAGAAUUACCUGGAGAAUGAUGAGGUAACAUGUAACCAAACCACUGUCAGCAUGGUUGCUCUUCUACUUUAUUGAAAAACACGCAGCUUGCCUUUCUCCCACGGUUUCUACAGACAGCAUGGACUCCAACACAGCAGGUUAAAGAGUGUUGAUCUACAGAGCAAUUGGCAAGAGCAUUGGAUUUUCAUUGUUCUUGAUCUGAAAUGCCAAUGUAAGAUGCUCUCUGUUGGACUCAAUCGGCAGAAAACAUCCUGAGCAGGCAAUAUGUACACAGAGAAGGCAAACCAUGCUACGUGAUGGCUGUACUAGAGACUCCUGCCAGACCCUGGCAUACAGUAGCCACUCGAUGCUAAUUCUUCCCAAAGCGUCAUCUCUCAUGUGAAAUCUUCGUCCAAGCUGGUAAGAGCAACUGGAAGGACAGCAUGCUGGCAAGUGACUGCACGGCCCCAACAGCACUCAUGCGCUACAGUGACGUGGAUUGGAAAACUCCUGAGGCUCUUGCACUACUUAUGCCCACCAUUAUAUUAACAGAGACAGAAUGCUUACUGUGGAGGCUACGAACCCCCAACAUGUCCGUGACAAAUUAGAUGUGAACAACUGCAGACAUGAGUCACUAGAGGAAACACCAUGAAAAACCAAACCUCUAUUGAUCCUUUCUGGUUUCUUCCAGGGUGCAGCUCCUGCAAGGCUCUCCAUGCUACAGUGGGUUGUCCUGCACCAAUUCACAUACAGGCAGCAUAGCAUGGACACACUGGGAAACCACAAGAAGUUGAGAGGGAAAGUGGGUGUAACUGAAGGAUGCGAAACUGGGUGAUCAAAACACCUUGUAUCCAUGCAUGAAGUGCUCAAGUAACCAGAGCCAUCCCUUCCAUUGCUGGCUUGGGUUCUACCCAUCUCCUCUCAUCCCUGCCUCCACUCCUCACUCCAUCUCCCUUCAGAUAAGAACAGGCUUCCAAGAGACAAUGACCAAACACGACAAAACAAAAUACAGUAAGACAAGGCCAAAGCCCUCACCUCAAAGCUGAACAAGGCAACCCAAGAGGAGGAAAAGUCCCAGG
rnacentral:lncRNA from 1 species